rnacentral:rRNA from 1 species
GCUGAAGCAACAAAUGCCCUGCUUCCAGGAAAAGCCUCUAAGCAUCAGGUAACAUCAAAUCGUACCCCAAACCGACACAGGUGGUCAGGUAGAGAAUACCAAGGCGCUUGAGAGAACUCGGGUGAAGGAACUAGGCAAAAUGGUGCCGUAACUUCGGGAGAAGGCACGCUGACACGUAGGUGAAGUGGUUUACCCAUGGAGCUGAAGUCAGUCGAAGAUACCAGCUGGCUGCAACUGUUUAUUAAAAACACAGCACUGUGCAAACACGAAAGUGGACGUAUACGGUGUGACGCCUGCCCGGUGCCGGAAGGUUAAUUGAUGGGGUCAGCGCAAGCGAAGCUCCUGAUCGAAGCCCCGGUAAACGGCGGCCGUAACUAUAACGGUCCUAAGGUAGCGAAAUUCCUUGUCGGGUAAGUUCCGACCUGCACGAAUGGCGUAAUGAUGGCCAGGCUGUCUCCACCCGAGACUCAGUGAAAUUGAACUCGCUGUGAAGAUGCAGUGUACCCGCGGCAAGACGGAAAGACCCCGUGAACCUUUACUAUAGCUUGACACUGAACAUUGAGCCUUGAUGUGUAGGAUAGGUGGGAGGCUUUGAAGCGUGGACGCCAGUCUGCGUGGAGCCGACCUUGAAAUACCACCCUUUAAUGUUUGAUGUUCUAACGUGGACCCGUAAUCCGGGUUGCGGACAGUGUCUGGUGGGUAGUUUGACUGGGGCGGUCUCCUCCUAAAGAGUAACGGAGGAGCACGAAGGUUGGCUAAUCCUGGUCGGACAUCAGGAGGUUAGUGCAAUGGCAUAAGCCAGCUUGACUGCGAGCGUGACGGCGCGAGCAGGUGCGAAAGCAGGUCAUAGUGAUCCGGUGGUUCUGAAUGGAAGGGCCAUCGCUCAACGGAUAAAAGGUACUCCGGGGAUAACAGGCUGAUACCGCCCAAGAGUUCAUAUCGACGGCGGUGUUUGGCACCUCGAUGUCGGCUCAUCACAUCCUGGGGCUGAAGUAGGUCCCAAGGGUAUGGCUGUUCGCCAUUUAAAGUGGUACGCGAGCUGGGUUUAGAACGUCGUGAGACAGUUCGGUCCCUAUCUGCCGUGGGCGCUGGAGAACUGAGGGGGGCUGCUCCUAGUACGAGAGGACCGGAGUGGACGCAUCACUGGUGUUCGGGUUGUCAUGCCAAUGGCACUGCCCGGUAGCUAAAUGCGGAAGAGAUAAGUGCUGAAAGCAUCUAAGCACGAAACUUGCCCCGAGAUGAGUUCUCCCUGAGACUUUGAGUCUCCUGAAGGAACGUUGAAGACGACGACGUUGAUAGGCCGGGUGUGUAAGCGCAGCGAUGCGUUGAGCUAACCGGUACUAAUGAACCGUGAGGCUUAACCUUACAACGCCGAAGCUGUU